rnacentral:lncRNA from 1 species
AGGGGCGGGACGAGGGGCGCGCAGGCGCUGGGGCUUCAGCGACCGCCUGAGACAGAGUCUCACCAUGUUGCCCAGGCUGGUCUCAAACUCCUGAGUCGAAUGAUCCACCUGCCUCAGCCUCCCAAAGCGCUGGGAUUACAGGCGUCAGCCACUGCACCCGGCCCCAGCAGUACAAUCUGGUAACUCGAAAAAGAACUGGCACCUCAUGAAAACAGAAACGGCCAAUGAACUGAAAAGACGCUCAGCCUUAGCAGACCCAGGUAUGUCACGCUAAAGCAAUGAAGCGCUUCCUCCUCUCCGGCUGUGCUCACUGCUGGGAACUGGCAGCUGGGGGGGGUCUCUGUCCUGCCUGCUCCCCCUCCACGGCCACUUGCUGCCUUGUCCCUCUCACCCAGCUGGCCAAGCCCAGCUGGGCACCGGGCCUGCACCCAAGCUGCCCGGAGUGGAAAGAGAGGAGACACAGCCAUGUGGAGUGGUUUCAUUUUAAAUUAAUGGCCACCAGCUCAAGCGGACACUUGUUGACUACAUUUCCCCAGCCUGGUACCACCUCAGCAUGUCCUCGUGUCCUGGCACAGAGAGGGCAGAGCUGUGAUCACACUGCCUGCCCCCUCCAAAUGAAAGGCUGCUGAGCAGAGCGGGAAGCUGCACCUUUGCAGGCAGGUCAAGGACCUGGCUUCUGGGACCCAGGGGGGCCCCAUGUAAAGGGGAGUGGGGCUGGGCUUGUCUCGAAUCUGCCUGAAGUGGGGAUCUGGAAGAGUGAAACUGAAGGAGGCUGGAAGUAUUCACCUGAAGGCAGAGAGACUCCAGACCCCGAAAAAGUGGCCCGAGAGGGACAUUCAGCUUUAGUCACCUGGGAGCCCAAGCAGCGUGUAGGCAGCAGAGACCCCCCACCCUUGCCGCUGGCCUUGGGCUGUCCCCAGAGGGUCAGGAGCUGCAGCUGGAGAGGAAGUGGGCGGACCCCAGGCUGGAGCAGGAGGCGUUUCAACUCCGAGUAAAGUUUGAUCGUUACACUGACCGGGACACAAAAAUUACUUCACUGAGACCAAAUCAAAAAUGGGCAUGAAAAUGGGGCAAGCUUUUCAGCCAGUGGUGGGUGGGGGUGGGGAAGAACACUGGGGGAAGGAAUAGUACAAGUGAUUUGUCUCUUAUUUUAAUAACUCUCAAAGCUGCAAAAGUGGGUGGGGCUUAUUCAAAUUAAUGUAAUUCUUUUGUCUGAUUCUCUUCAGACAUCAGUGACACUAAACACAUGCACGGGGGACCAUCGGGGCUGGCGCUGGAGGGAUUCUUCCACCUCUGCAGCACCCACCUGUGCGCCUGCAAACUGUUCUGUCUCCCUCCCUCUUCCAGGAAAACACUUUUCUAUGAAUUCACUAUGAUAUUUGUACUAUGCUGGGGCUAUUUUUAGGAGUUGGUGUGAUGAAAUAUUCAGCAUUGUAAACAGUGUGCACACA